CGGCGAAGUGAAGCGGGAACAGCUCAAAUUUGAAAUCUGGCCCUCGGGUCCGAAGUUGUAAUUUGUAGAGGAUGCUUUUGGUGCGGUGCCUUCCGAGUUCCCUGGAACGGGACGCCUUAGAGGGUGAGAGCCCCGUACGGUUGGACGCCUAGCCUCUGUAAAGCUCCUUCGACGAGUCGAGUAGUUUGGGAAUGCUGCUCUAAAUGGGAGGUAUAUUUCUUCUAAAGCUAAAUACUGGCCAGAGACCGAUAGCGCACAAGUAGAGUGAUCGAAAGAUGAAAAGCACUUUGAAAAGAGGGUUAAAUAGCACGUGAAAUUGUUGAAAGGGAAGCGUUUAUCACCAGACUUUUUCUAGGGGGAUCAUCCGGUGUUCUCACCGGUGCACUUCCCCUGGUUGAGGCCAGCAUCGGUUUUCGGAGGGGGAUAAAAGCUUCGGGAAUGUGACUCCCUCGGGAGUGUUAUAGCCCGUUGCAUAAUACCCUUCUGGGGACCGAGGUUCGCGCAUCUGCAAGGAUGCUGGCAUAAUGGUGAUCAACGAC
rnacentral:rRNA from 1 species